AUGCCCCGGAAGCUGCGGGCGCUCCGCAAGAGCCACGCCCUCGCCGGAGCCGCCCCUAAUGCCGACCUCGUCCGUAUCCCCUCCGCACGGGUAUCCACCCCAGCUCAAACCCUCGCUUCGGUGGCGACACAGGCUCGCGAUGACGCGGAGAAGCGGCGGGUGGUCGGUGUGGUGGUGGGAAAGGGCUGCUUGAAGCGGUCGGUGGGUGGUGCCAGCGGCGGGGGUUCCGGUUCGUCCAAAAAGGUGAGCUUUGUGUUGGAGCCCCAGGUGCGGGUCAUGUCACCAGCUGCUGCCAACACAAGGGGGACGCGGAAGGGCGGGGAGACCGUUCCUGUUCCUGGUGAUGACGGUGCUGACGUAGGCGGAGGGAGGCCUCGUCGUCAAACCCGUGUCCAACUUGGUGGUGGUUCUGCUCCAGUGGUAGGGGCACAUGCUCCGGUUAGGCGGUCUAAGAGGAUUGCGAUGAAUUUGGGUGCUGGAGUUGAGCAGCUUACUGCUCCGGCUAAAGCAAUUUCGGCAGCUCCGGCACCUACUGAUUUAGCACAUUCUAACAUAGUUGGAAGUAAUGCUCCCAAGGCUGAGGAAGAAGAUGAGGUAGAAGAAACUGUUGGCAAGACGCGGAACAAGAAGAGAAAGUGCAUGGAUAGUUCUGUGCAUAUGAUUCUCAAUGCACAAAUUGGAGUUCCUCGUAGAUGCACAAGGUCGAGCGGCCGGCUACCAGCAGCCCCUUUGGUAUGCUCUCAUGUGCUUGAGAAGAGAGGGCGGAUGAAGGUAACAUAUGUUAAGGAACAGACAUGUGUUGAGGAGCAACCUGCUGAAGAUCAAGACUUAGGUAGAACACUAAAUUUUGGAUUAAUUGCUCUUGAGAGCAAGAGAAGUUGCAGCAAGGUGCAAGAAGAUGAACUUGCUGCGCAAAGGGCUGCUAAGGAGGAAACAUCAGGUAGGGCCACAAGAUCAAGCUCAAUAGCAGCUGCUAUGAUGUCUCCCACUGUCGUUGAGUACAGGAGGACAAGGAACACAGAAGAUGCACGCUCUGAUGGGGAGAUGCCUAUAAAGGAUGCUCCUGUUCUCGGUGGUUUAAGGAGUAGAGCUGGUCAGGGUAACAAUGGUGUGGUGGAGGAAAGUCACUUUGUCAAGAAAUUGGGAAAUAGGAGGGGACCCAGUAAACCAACUACUUGCAUCAACAGGCAUCAACAGCUUGCAUCUUCUAUAGAGGAAGAAUAUCAAGAACACGGUGUUGCUCCCUUUAAGGCCCCUCCACUGAGGCAAUCUAGGCGAAACCAUUCCGCUGCCAGAGAAUUGUCGUCCACGCACAAUGCGGCAAAUGAUGGCAUAGAGGAUAAUGUGGCGAAGGAAGACGAACAUUUGGAGUUACCAAGGAAUGGCAGAGCUAAGGAUUGUGCCGGUGCAGAGGAGCAAGUGGCCGAGGUGGUAGUGAGAAAAGGGUGUUUGAAGCAUCCAGGGGCUGAUGCGAGCAGUGGCAGCUCCAGUGCUGCCAAAAAGGUGAGAUUUGUGUUGGUGGAGCAGGUAGAAGCGGAGAUGGUUGGAUUCAGGAGGCCAUGGGUAACAUGGUCCCCGGUUGUUGCCAAGACAAGGGGUAGGCAGAAGGCCAGUGUGACUCUUUAG
rnacentral:rRNA from 1 species